GACGAACGCUGGCGGCGGGCUUAACACAUGCAAGUCGAACGGAAAGGCCGUGCUUUUGUGGGGUGCUCGAUUGGCGAUCGGGUGAGUAACAUGUGAGCAACCUGCCCUCGACUUAGGGGUAACUUCAGGAAACGGGGGCUAAUACCGGAUAGGAGCUCCUGUAGCAUGGUGGGGGCUGGAAAUUUUCGGCGGGUGGGGAUGGACUCGGGGCUUAUCAGCUUGUUGGUGGGGUAGUGGCUUACCAAGGCUUUGCCGGGUAGCCGGCCUGCGAGGGUGACCGGCCACGUUACGACUGGGAUACGGCACAGACUCCUACGGGAGGCAGGAGUGGAGAGUGUUGUACAGUGGGAUGGAGGCUGAUGCGAAAACGCCGCGUGCGGGAUGACGGCCUGCGGGUUGUGAACCGCAGCCGCCUGUGACGAGGCGUUAGUGACGGUAAUGGGAGAAGAAGCACCGGCUAACUACGUG
rnacentral:rRNA from 1 species